rnacentral:rRNA from 1 species
UGGGGAAUAUUGCACAAUGGGCGCAAGCCUGAUGCAGCCAUGCCGCGUGUGUGAAGAAGGCCUUCGGGUUGUAAAGCACUUUCAGCGAGGAGGAAGGUGGUGAGCUUAAUACGCUCAUCAAUUGACGUUACUCGCAGAAGAAGCACCGGCUAACUCCGUGCCAGCAGCCGCGGUAAUACGGAGGGUGCAAGCGUUAAUCGGAAUUACUGGGCGUAAAGCGCACGCAGGCGGUUUGUUAAGUCAGAUGUGAAAAUCCCCGGGCUCAACCUGGGAACUGCAUUUGAAACUGGCAAGCUAGAGUCUCGUAGAGGGGGGUAGAAUUCCAGGUGUAGCGGUGAAAUGCGUAGAGAUCUGGAGGAAUACCGGUGGCGAAGGCGGCCCCCUGGACGAAGACUGACGCUCAGGUGCGAAAGCGUGGGGCAGCAAACAGGAUUAGAUACCCUGGUAGUCCAGCGCUGUAAACGAUGUCGAUUUGGAGGUUGUGCCCUUGAGGCGUGGCUUCCGGAGCUAACGCGUUAAAUCGACCGCCUGGGGGAGUACGGCCGCAAGGUUAAAACUUAAAUGAAUUGACGGGUCU